UGAGGGAUAUUGGUCAAUGGGCGCAAGCCUGAACCAGCGACGCCGCGUGGGUGAAGAAGGUCUUCGGAUCGUAAAGCCCUUUUCCCACUGAAGAGGAAGGACGGUAGGUGGGGAAGAAGUCUCGGCUAACUACGUGCCAGCAGCCGCGGUAAAACGUAGGAGACAAGCGUUAUCCGGAGUUACUGGGCGUAAAGGGCGUGCAGGUGGCGUCUUAAGUCUGUUGUGAAAGCGCCUGGCUUAACCGGGCGAGGCCAAUGGAGACUGAGAGGGUGGAGGACGGCGGAGGGGUGUGGAAUUCCGGGGGUGGUGGUGAAAUGCGUAGAGAUCCGGAGGAACACGAGAGGCGAAGGCGGCACUCUAAGCCGUACCUGACACUGGGACGCGACAGCACGGGGAGCAAACG
rnacentral:rRNA from 1 species